rnacentral:rRNA from 1 species
AUUGAACGCUGGCGGCAGGCCUAACACAUGCAAGUCGAACGAGUGGCGGACGGGUGAGUAAUGUCUGGGAAACUGCCCGAUGGAGGGGGAUAACUACUGGAAACGGUAGCUAAUACCGCAUACCAUCGGAUGUGCCCAGAUGGGAUUAUCUAGUAGUUUUUUUAACGGCUCACCUAGGCGACGAUCCCUAGCUGGUCUGAGAGGAUGACCAGCCACACUGGAACUGAGACACGGUCCAGACUCCUACGGGAGGCAGCAGUGGGGAAUAUUGCACAAUGGGCGCAAGCCUGAUGCAGCCAUGCCGCGUGUAUGAAGAAGGCCUUCGGGUUGUAAAGUACUUUCAGCGAGGAGGCGUUAAUAGCAGAAGAAGCACCGGCUAACUCCGUGCCAGCAGACGCGGUAAUAC